GCCCCACACCGAACUCUGGUUAGACGCCACGAGGGGCCGGUGGUCCGUGUCUACUCCUUUCCCCUCGCUCCCGGGACCCCCGCCCGCCCCGCCUACGCCUUCCCUUCCCCUGCUUCUCUACCCCGAGACCCCAACUGGCGCGAAGGCUCUGUACCCAGUGUCGCGAUUCUGUUUUACUUCGGUAACUCCUUGCUCUGCGGGAAUGUAAUAAAUACUUUUUGUUGAGUUACAGGCCUGCGGUCUGGAGAGAGCAAGGACUUGAGGAUGAGCACGUAUCACGCGGGCCCCAGUCCCGCGACCACCCGACAAGGUUCUUUCUGGUCGCAGGACCCCAAGAGGCCGAAAGCUGGGGGCCCAGAGCGCAGACGGUAGGCGCUCUGCACCUGGGCUUCGGAUCCAUCACCGCGGGUUUGUUCUGCCCCUCAUGGUCCAAGGGUCCGGCACAUACAGCGCUUCGCCGGCUGAGCCCCGCUGUGUGCCGAGCCGGGUGACCGCUCCCAUCGGGGAGCAAGCUGAGCGCUCGUGGACACGGCAUAAGCCACAAAGCCGUUGUGAACCGGGCUGCUGGCAGGCUGUCCCCAGCUCCGGGAGCCAAUGGCUGACAGCCAGGUUGGCCCUGGCCGUUGGGAAGGCCACCGCCAACAAUAGUAUUCCAAACUGGUUGCUCUCGAUUUUUAAAGAGCCUGUGUUUCUCUUGAGGUUCCUGAGCUGAGUGGAGAAACACUGACCCUUGAGUUUCUCCUGCACCGUAGUGACUGAGUCAGGGGCGGGGCCGCCAGGCUUGGGCAGAGGAUGGAGUUACUGCGCCCAGUACCCGACUGUUUAGUGUCCAGCCAUGUGCGCGCACUGCACCCGGGCCUGCGUGGGGAAACAGGGAGCGCAGACAGGGCCUCUGCGCCUGAGCGGCUGCUGUUCUAGGGGAACAGGCUCGACAGACAUCAUUUUGUAAGAAACUGCCAGUAAUGAGACUGAUAGGAAGAAUGACAAAGUGAAAGAGAUAAAUGGAGAGAGACAGGAAUGGGAGUCCUAGAUCAGGUGGUCAGCAGGCUCUCUGGACAGGUGACCCUUGAGCAGGGAGCUUAAGAACCACACCUUGUUCCAGGGAAGGAUGUCCCUGGCUGAAGUAGGUCAGUGCAAAGGCCAGAAGCAGGGGAUCCAGAGAAGGUGAGUGCGGCCAGAGAAGGAACAGGAGCACCCAGAGGGUGGGAGGGGUGGCUGGGUCUGGACCUGGGUUCUGACUUCAGCCUCGAUGACCUGGGGCACUUGAGAGGGUUUCUGGUGGGGAGUUUUUUUAUUAUGCUCAAAUUAUUUUCUCUUGGCAUAAUUUCAGAUUACCACAAAAGUGGCAAGAAUAGUGUGAGAAUUCCCAGAUUCUCACGGAUUCCCAGAUAUUAAACUUUUACUAAGAGAGUGUGAGGCAUCUGGAAAUGGGGUCUUUGAGGGUGUGAUCAACUCAAGAUGAGGUUGUACUGGACAAAGAAGGGAGCUCUAAAUCCAAUAAGACUGAUGUCCUCAUAAGAGGGAAUUGUGGCCACAGAGCCAAGGAGGGGAGACAGCCACAUGAAGACAGAGGCACAGGCUGGAGUCAUCUGGGCACAAGACAAGAACACGGGCAACUAGCAGGAGCUGAAAGAGAUGGGGGGACCCUCUGCCAGAGCCCUCAGAAGGAGUGAGGCCUCCAGGAUUGUGAGAGACAAUUUGCCUAUUCUGGAUGUUUCAUAUAAAUGGAAUCAUCUAGCAUGUGGUCUCUUGUGACUGGCUUCCUUCACUUAGCGUUUUUUCAAGGGAGUCAACAUCAAGUCUUCUGAAACAUGCUGCCAUGGAGGAGAGGAGAAGGAGUGGCAGAGUGGGUUUAACUGUUGAUAUUAAUUGCUGCAUGUGGGCUUGGGGGCAGGUGUCUCCCUCUCCUCUCAUGUAAGCAUGUGGAGGAGUUUCCCCAGCCCGUCUCCACUGCUUCCUCUGUCCUAGGUAAGGAGGAGCAAUGUAUCUGAUUGGUCAGUUUGGAAGAAUAAGUGGGAAAGUUUGGCCCAGCCAAGGGAAAAAAUUAAGUCUUGGGGUCCAUGAACAUGGAAUGUCUAUUUAUUUAAGUCUACUUUACUUUCCCCAUGAUGUUGUGUCAAUUUCAGAAUGUAAGUUUUAUACUCAGUAGGUUCUUUAAAAUUUUUUUUAUUUAAAAAAGUUUUAUUGGAUUACAGUUGAUCUACAGUGUUGUGUUAGUUUCGGGUGUACAGCAAAGUGAGCCAGUUAUACAUACACAUAUGUCCACUCUUCUAGAUUCUUUGCCCAUAUAGGCCUGUACUCAGUAACUUCCUACGGCACCUGUCAAGUCCUCACUUUGUAAAGCAGGCCUAUUAGGGUUCCUGGUUAUUCCUCUGCUCACCCUUCCCCACACCACCAUGUCCUACCUUCCAUGACUAAUACCGUUUCCACUAAUAACAACAGCUUAACCCAGCUUAAGCACAAGCCCGGCACUGUUCUAGGAACUUGGCCUACAGUAACUAAUGGAAUCUUCAUAACUAUCCUAGGAGAGGAGGCCAGUGACUUGCCCAAGGUCUGCAACUAAUGGGGAGCAGAGCCAGAAUUCCACCCAGGCUGUCAGACGCCUGCAUCUCUGCUUUUCUUCAUCGACUUCCUUGCCUGUUUUGCAAUGGCAGUUGGGAUAUGUGAGGUUGAACCCCAUGAAGCAGCUGAUGUUUGACCACUUUUUAAAAUUAAUUUAUUGGGAUUUCCCUGGUGGUCCAGUGGCUAAGACUCUGUGCUCCCUCUGCAGGGGGUCCAACCAUGGUCAGGGAACUGGAUCCCACAUGCUGUAACUAAGAGUUCAUAUGCUGCAAGUAGAGAUCUGGUGUGCCCCAGUGAAGACCCAGUGAAGCCAAAUAGUAUAUAAAUAAAAGUUUACCUAUAAUUAAUUUAUCUAUUUUUGGCUGCACUGGUCUUCACUGCUGCAUUUG